UCUGUCUGUCUAGUCAACCUGAUUGGUGGAUUGCUACAGAAAUGGUUGUCCUUCUGGAAGGUUUUCCUCUCUCCAGAGGACUGCUGGAGCUCUAGCAGAGUGACCACCUCUUGGUCACCUCUAAGGCCCUAGGACUAAGGUCCUUUUCCCUCAAUCGCUCAGUUUAGACAGGUGGCCAGCUCUAGGAAGAA